rnacentral:tRNA from 1 species
GGCUGGAUAGCUCAGUUGGUAAGAGCACCGGAAUGGCAAUCCGAAGGUCACAGGUUCAACCCCUGCUCCAGUCA